rnacentral:rRNA from 2 species
GCUCAGGAUGAACGCUGGCGGCGUGCUUAACACAUGCAAGUCGAACGAACCUUCGGGUUAGUGGCGGACGGGUGAGUAACGCGUGAGAAUCUGCCCUCAGGAGGGGGAUAACGGCUGGAAACGGCCGCUAAUACCCCAUAUGCCGAGAGGUGAAAUGAAUUUCGCCUGAGGAUGAGCUCGCGUCUGAUUAGCUAGUUGGUGGGGUAAUGGCCCACCAAGGCUUCGAUCAGUAGCUGGUCUGAGAGGAUGAUCAGCCACACUGGGACUGAGACACGGCCCAGACUCCUACGGGAGGCAGCAGUGGGGAAUUUUCCGCAAUGGGCGCAAGCCUGACGGAGCAACGCCGCGUGAGGGAUGAAGGCCUCUGGGCUGUAAACCUCUUUUAUCAAGGAAGAAGAUCUGACGGUACUUGAUGAAUAAGCCACGGCUAAUUCCGUGCCAGCAGCCGCGGUAAUACGGGAGUGGCAAGCGUUAUCCGGAAUUAUUGGGCGUAAAGCGUCCGCAGGCGGUCUUGUAAGUCUGUCGUUAAAGCGUGGAGCUUAACUCCAUUUCGGCGAUGGAAACUACAAGACUAGAGUGUGGUAGGGGCAGAGGGAAUUCCCGGUGUAGCGGUGAAAUGCGUAGAUAUCGGGAAGAACACCAGUGGCGAAGGCGCUCUGCUGGGCCAUAACUGACGCUCAUGGACGAAAGCCAGGGGAGCGAAAGGGAUUAGAUACCCCUGUAGUCCUGGCCGUAAACGAUGAACACUAGGUGUCGGGGGAAUCGACCCCCUCGGUGUCGUAGCCAACGCGUUAAGUGUUCCGCCUGGGGAGUACGCACGCAAGUGUGAAACUCAAAGGAAUUGACGGGGGCCCGCACAAGCGGUGGAGUAUGUGGUUUAAUUCGAUGCAACGCGAAGAACCUUACCAGGGUUUGACAUCCUGCGAAUCCCUUGGAAACGAGGGAGUGCCUUCGGGAGCGCAGAGACAGGUGGUGCAUGGCUGUCGUCAGCUCGUGUCGUGAGAUGUUGGGUUAAGUCCCGCAACGAGCGCAACCCACGUCUUUAGUUGCCAGCAUUUAGUUGGGCACUCUAGAGAGACCGCCGGUGAUAAACCGGAGGAAGGUGUGGAUGACGUCAAGUCAUCAUGCCCCUUACAUCCUGGGCUACACACGUACUACAAUGCUACGGACAAAGGGCAGCAAACUCGCGAGAGCUAGCAAAUCCCAUAAACCGUGGCUCAGUUCAGAUCGUAGGCUGCAACUCGCCUACGUGAAGGCGGAAUCGCUAGUAAUCGCAGGUCAGCAUACUGCGGUGAAUACGUUCCCGGGCCUUGUACACACCGCCCGUCACACCAUGGAAGUUGGCCACGCCCGAAGUCGUUACUCCAACCCUUGUGGAGGAGGACGCCGAAGGUGGGGCUGAUGACUGGGGUGAAGUCGU